rnacentral:rRNA from 1 species
UACGGAGGGUGCGAGCGUUGUUCGGAAUCACUGGGCGUAAAGCGCGUGUAGGCGGCCCACUAAGUCUGAUGUGAAAGCCCGGGGCUCACCCCCCGGAAGUGCAUUGGAAACUGGUGGACUCGAGUCCCGGAGACGGAGAGUGGAAUUCCGUGGUGUAGCGGUGAAAUGCGUAGAUAUCAGGAGGAACACCGGUGGCGAAGGCGGGUCUCGUGGGCAGUGAACUGACGCUGGAGAAGCGAAAGCGUGGGAGCGAACAGGA